UACGGGGGGAGCAAGCGUUGUUCGGAUUUACUGGGCGUAAAGGGCGCGUAGGCGGCCUCCGCAAGUCAGUUGUGAAAUCUCCGAGCUUAACUCGGAAAGGUCAACUGAUACUGCGGGGCUAGAGUGCGGAAGGGGCAACUGGAAUUCUUGGUGUAGCGGUGAAAUGCGUAGAUAUCUGGAGGAACACCGGUGGCGAAGGCGGCAUCCUGGACCAACACUGACGCUGAGGAGCGAAAGCCAGGGGAGCAAACGGG
rnacentral:rRNA from 1 species